rnacentral:rRNA from 1 species
AGCAGCCGCGGUAAUUCCAGCUCCAAUAGCGUAUAUUAAAGUUGUUGCAGUUAAAAAGCUCGUAGUUGAAUUUCGGGAUCAAUACGUCGGUCGUGCCUCCGGUAUGUACUGGUGUUAUUGAUUUCUCCCUUCUGAUGAACCAUGAUGUCAUUAAUUUGAUGUUGUGGGGAGUCAGGACUGUUACUUUGAAAAAAUUAGAGUGUUUAAAGCAGGCUC